rnacentral:tRNA from 1 species
AGAAGUUUAAGUUAAAAAACUAAUAGCCUUCAAAGCUUUAAUUAUAGAUUGAAAUUCUAUAACUUCUG